rnacentral:rRNA from 1 species
GAUGAACGCUGGCGGCGUGCCUAAUACAUGCAAGUCGAGCGAAUGGAUUGAGGGCUUGCUCUUAUGAAGUUAGCGGCGGACGGGUGAGUAACACGUGGGUAACCUGCCCAUAAGACUGGGAUAACUCCGGGAAACCGGGGCUAAUACCGGAUAACAUUUUGAACCGCAUGGUUCGAAAUUGAAAGUCGGCUUCGGCUGUCACUUAUGGAUGGACCCGCGUCGCAUUAGCUAGUUGGUGAGGUAACGGCUCACCAAGGCAACGAUGCGUAGCCGACCUGAGAGGGUGAUCGGCCACACUGGGACUGAGACACGGCCCAGACUCCUACGGGAGGCAGCAGUAGGGAAUCUUCCGCAAUGGACGAAAGUCUGACGGAGCAACGCCGCGUGAGUGAUGAAGGCUUUCGGGUCGUAAAACUCUGUUGUUAGGGAAGAACAAGUGCUAGUUGAAUAAGCUGGCACCUUGACGGUACCUAACCAGAAAGCCACGGCUAACUACGUGCCAGCCGCCGCAGUAA